rnacentral:lncRNA from 1 species
AACUACAAUCACAUUCACAUUAUUAAAACAGUUGAAAAAUUGAUCUCUGGGCAGCACAAUUUUUCAUGCAACAAGGAAUCACCAUAACGCUGGUAACAAGAUAGCAUUGUGACAAUAUCAAGGCCAUUAUUGACAAUAUCAAGGCAAUUUUUUUAAGAGCAGAUCGCUCGCGUUCGUGCUGUCCCCUCUGAAAACUUCCCAUCUGUUGUGCAUGCUAAAUACCUGACAGAAUAGAAUUCACCGUCGUUGUUAGAUCAUGCUGCGGCAUUGGCAUGCCCACUCUACUUACUCAAGGAACACUGACAGUUUCUUUUUAAAGUUCAUCAGAAGUAUUUGGUGUGUAAAAUUAACGUGGAAACCGGAUGAGUUGACAAAACAAUUUACAUCUUUUGAAGCUGUCAACAACACAACAGACUAUUGACUAUUGUUUCUGCAUUGCUAAUUGGAACUACCAUCAUUAAAGUAAUUAAGCUGAAUUACCAAGUAGAGACUUGAAGAUCAAAGUCAACGAUCGAUUGCGUCAACCAACAGGGACUAUAAUAUACGAGUACUCAGGAAGAAUUUGGUCGAGUGCAUGAAUGAAAGAGAGAAAAACACCACCAACAACCUUCUCCCGCAUGGAGACGAGGGGCUGGCCGGCGGCGUCGUGGAGGACGCGGCGGUCGUGGACGCUGAAGACGGCGCCCUUUACCCGGAGCAUCUCGGCGCCGUUGGCGUCGGUGACGACGAAGUCCCCGCCGGAGAGGCUGAUGGCCUUCUUGACCACCGUCAGCGGCACCGCGUACGGCGCGCAGAACUGCGGCGGGGACACCACCGCCACCGGGGUCGGCGCCUGGGCCGGAGCUCGGUCGUUGUAGGGCGCCGCCAUUAUUUGUGGGGAGCUGGAUCGCCUUGGCGCCGGUGCAGGAGACCUCGUCGCUUGCUCGGUGGCUUUGAGUUCGAUCAGCGGCACGCGUUCUCGCUGUCCUAGCCGUAGCAGCUUCGGUUUCGCAGGCCGUUGUUGUUGGGGUCUGGACGAUCUCAAUUUAUGAACAGAGGCAGGCGCGCGCACGCGGUGUGUAGAAAUUUCGUGUGGCCUGCGGUAUAAAAAGCUCACGUGUUCUGUUGCUUGACCAAUCAAACGGAUUUACUUUUAACAAACCCAUGUUUCAAAUUGUGUGUUCCCACGUAAAUUUAUAUGUUCAAUUAUUCCUGACUUGGCGGCUGGUGUGGGUGUGUACGGUACAGCAACGGGCUAGUGACGACAAUACUAAGGUGCUCUAAGGGUACGUUUGAUUGAGCUUCCUAACAGUUUCUCAGCGUGAAAAGUCAUAAGCUUAACCAAACAGCGAAUUUUUCAUGCAGUUUCCGAAAAGUUAGAAACUUAAAAAAGCUAGAAAGCUCAGUUUUAUGAACUUUUCGUAGCUUUCUGAGCUCAAAAAGCUAAAUGCAUAUUCUAAAAGAUAGCGUUGGCCAGCUUUUCAGGAAAAAAAACUAAUAUCAGCUUUUUCGAAAAGCUCAAAAGCUGCCGCUCAAACAAACUGGUUCUAAGAUCUUCUUCAAUAGUGGAGCUAGUGUAUUAGCUCUAAACUUGUCCACCUUACAAAAGAGAUAGUAAAAAGAUUACUUAUCCAAUGAUCUAUCUUAUAGCACAUACAAGAGUGCAGAACUGAAUUUAAAACAAGCUAACUAUUGUUUCAUUCUAAAUUUUAGAUGGUUUAACUAAAUUAGGACAAAGCUAGGAAUACACUUAUUUUUGAACGGAAUGAGUAUGUAAAUAUACUUCAGUGUGUUUAGUAUACCGAUUCUGCGUGACCUCACAAAGAGCGCAUUAUCCGCAGGUAUUUAGCAUGCACGACAAAUGGAAAGUGUUCCGAGGGGACAGCACGAGUUCACGUGAUUUGCUCUUCACUGUGAAGAAAACAUCAAUUUUCCAACUGAAGACAAGUCUGGGUGUCUUUUUGGCUCGGAACACCUCAGAGCAGGUAUGUGAUUUCAAGAUCAAGGGGAGCUACUUCGAGAGAUCUUGUGCCUUCUAUCUUGGCAACUCCAACGCCAUGGUUGCUCAGGUGGGUAAUAUUGUGUCAAAUUUCUAGUUUUAUUUCAAAGUUUAAACAUAUUUUAGUGAACAUGCCUGCCAUUUGGUGCUGCAGAUGAAACGUAAGUUUACUGUGUCAAAUGUACUGCUCGGAAAGGACACGUACUGUGUUACAGUGUUCCCUAACGUUGACCACGUAUUCAUUGCGGCUCUUGCUGUGAUUCUGGAUAAGGUUCACAGGGAUCGAUCCAAAUGACGACGUGACGUCAUCGACAAAUUCCAAGCAUCCAUCAAGUAGUUUCAAUGCUACGGUCUAUUUUGCGGGGCUUCUACUGGCUUUCGCGGGUGAGCCGUUUUGCCUUCUCCCGUUUGGCACGGCUUCAUCAAAAGCCAUCCUAGAAGCCGCUCGAUGAGCCGUGCCAAAGGGGCCCUUAAUGUUUUGGUAGGUGGAAUUUACUAAAAAAUGAAUAACAAAAAUAAUUUGACAUAGUAAGGGAUAGAAUUGGGCCCAAGCAACAAGGGUAUGUGUUUGGUUUGAUGGUUGAAGUGGUUGGAAUGGGUCGGAUCCAAUUGAGCGGGUGUUUGGUUGAAAGGGUAGUGGGUUGGCUUCAUCCCAGUAAGGGAAUAUUCUCUCAUAUCCGGGUUCGUUCGGUCUGCUCAAAACGAAGAAAUUGAUCUGACCUAGAUGAACGGCGUCUUCCUCCGUUGUCUCUGCGUGCGAGGGAGGGCGGCGCGAGGUAGCUCCGCAUCGAGCGGUGCUGGACGGGGCGGCGGAGAAGGCCUCGUGGGGCCGCGUCGGCCACGGAGCAAAGCCGCAUGGGUGUGGCAUGGAGGCGGGCUGGCGGGGAGCAUUGGCGACGGUCAGUGGGGAAGCCGCGGCGGAGGCGGCGGGAGGCGGUGGAGACGACCGGCGCGGAAGCUGUGGCGGGGCCGGCGGGGAAGAUGAGGUAGGGCCGAUGGGGAGCGGUGGUAACGGCUGGAGGGGACGCCGCAGCGGAGCCAGCGGGGGCGGUGGCGACAGUCAGCGGGGAGUCAAGGCAAGGCUAGCAGGAAGUUGAGGCGGAUGGCGCAGAGGCGGGUGGAGGUCUAGAGGAUGAGGAAGAAGAUAAGGUAGAAGAAAAAAUAUAAUACAAGAGAAUGAUAAGUAGGCCCUACUGCUGACAUGCAGACUCCACAAUCUACUGUAGCUAAUGGUGUUAAGAUGACAUUCAUCUUAUCCCACCUAACCAUUACAACAUUACAAUCAAACAAGAAAUUGGGUUGAAUUCAUCCUCAUCAACCAAACACGAGAUGGGUUGAACCCAACUUAAAAAAUAGGUUGGAGCGGACCCAAUCCACUUGAUCCCGAAAUCAAACACAUGCUUAGCAGCCCAGGCAGUAGGUGGGCCUCCGGAUCCUCGCAAGGACUUCGUUUCCUACCUCCACUCCCCCGCAGUAGCAAAGUAGAAGUAGGCCAUAGAACAAUCUCCUUUUUCGGUAGCAGCAGACAGAACCAGCAGAGACAGAUGGCAGGCUUAAGAGCAUACCUUGAUCACACCUCCGUGUUGCUCAUACCGAAGUAUCAUAUGAAAUCAAAGGCUAUGUAGCACCAGUAUAGGAGAGGAAGAAGGGUUGGUUGGAGUGGUAGAAAAUCCAGGUCGAGUAAUGCGUCUGUUCCUCUUUUCUGCAAUGGCUAUAGCUGCGUGCUCGGAAAUUGAUCGAGCUCGGAGAUAGCGCGGCAAGGGCAGACAGCGACGACCGUCCACAAUGGCGGCAUGCACGCGGCGGAGCGUGGUGGGCCCACACUGCGCCACAUGCGGCCUUGACAAAGAAGAGGCAAUCAAGCGACUUCACCGUCGCCGACGACAACAGCAAACGAGAGCAAACAGCAAACGAGAGCAAGGGGCAACGGCAACAGCAAACGAGAGCAACAAGCCUACAAGGACGACAGCAAGAAUAAUCCUUGCCGCCCCCGAUCAAGUCCGUCGAUCAAGACAAACUCUAAGCACCGGCGUCGAAGCGAGCUAGCGGCGGCGAUCCCGAUCGACGACCGAUGGCGUCGCCCUCCGGCAACGAACCCCUUUUGGCGGCUGCGCCGCCGGUGCCGGCGCCGGUGGUGGUGGUGUCACCCCAGUUCUGCGCGAAGGAGGUGGUGCCGCUGACGGUGACCAAGAAGGCCAAGAGCCUCACCGGCGGCGACUUCGCCGUCACCGACCCCAGCGGCGCCGUCGUGCUGCAGUUCAAGGGCAGCGUCUGGAGUGUCCGCAACCGCCGCGUGCUCGUCGACGCCGCCGGACAACCCAUCCUCUCCAUGCACGAGAAGGUAAACACGCCGAGAUGGGCCAUCCUACCUGCCCAUCCAUUUCUCUUCUUUGUUGCUUCUUUUUUGGACAUGAUCAGAUUCGGAUGGAUCGAUCCUUCUUGCUCCGAUGCACAAAGUAGCAAAGAUCCAAUAAACCCGAACAAAAAAGUUUAAAUUGAAAAUUCCAAGUCACCUGACCUGACUACAUCGCACUACCAGGUACUCAGCAUGCACAACAGAUGGGAGGUGUUCAGAGGGGACAGCUCGAACGCGAGCGACUUGCUCUUCACCGUGAAGAGAUCCACGCUCCUGCAGCUGAGGACAGAGCUGGAAGUCUUCUUGGCCGGGAACAACACCGCCCAGCAGGCUUGCGACUUCAAGCUGAAGGGCAGCUACUUCGACAGGGAUUGCGCCUUCUACCUCGGCGACUCCAACACCAUGAUUGCUCAAGUGAGUGUUCUAGCUACUUCUUCUUAUCAUGCUUUCAAUUUUGUGCUUGAAAAUGUUUAGAUAACAUAUCUUAUAUUCGACUUUUUUGUGCUGCAGAUAAGCCGUAAGUACACUGCCUCCAAUGUCCUGCUGGGAAAGGACACGUUCAAUGUUACCGUGUUCCCUGACGUCGACCAUGUGUUCGUCGCGGUUCUUGUUGUGGUUCUGGAUGAAGUUCACAGCAGGGACCGAAACUACUGAUGAUGAACAACAACUUCCAUCGAGUUCGACGCGGGUCAUAAUUUUUACAUGUCAAAUUAUGCUAGCAGCAUACUGGACUUCGUUGAUUUAUGCUGAUGUACAUUAUUGUAUAUUUGCUUUCGAUUGAGGAGCGCUACUCUGUUUGAUUGAUCUUUGCAGUGCAUGUUUGUUUGCUUUAAGUUUUGGAAUAAUAGUUGAAUGUUCUUAACCAAAACGAGUCAUGUCGUUUUUAGUUUGCUCUUUCGAUUGAAGACUAUUCUCUAUAACUAAACGUGCAUCGAAUGUGCACAUCAAGAAGGUUGGAAAGGAAUUUAGAUCCGGGACUACUGCCUCUCUAGUCCCAGGUCCAAUUCAUCCGAGACUUUAGACAGUGAGUACUGAGGUUAAUUACCGUAAUAAGUCUUGUUGCUUGAGUCAAAAAGUUCGAAGUUUCAGGCUUCACACCACGUUAAAAAUGAAUUUACGCAUCACAAAAAAGGAGAGAAUUAAACUUGUGGAUCAGCUCACUUGGCGGUUGGGUCACAAAGAACAUGCACCGUCCAUUCUUUUGGGUUUGGCACCAAUCCCCCUAUGAUACAGGAGGUCCCUCGAUUGGCUUCCUUUGGCAAAACAUAGAGCCCCGGCCCAACGACUGUGCACGUCCGGCAAGAACGUCGUACGAGCCCCGUAUCCAAACCGACGACCAGCCCCUUGCGCUGCUAGCUGCGACGGCGAGACCUUGAUGGCGGCGCCGCCCCUCCCAGCGCCACCGCCGCCGGAGCCCAGCGGAGGCAUCGUCGAGCCGGUGCCGGUGGUGGCCCCGCAUUUCUGCGCGCCCUACGUGGUGCAGCUGAGCGUGAAGGAGAAGUAUGGCCUGCGACAGGGCGACUUCACCAUCACCGACACCAACGGCGCCGUCGUGAUCAGGGUCGAGGGCGCCUUCAUCAGCAUCCACAACCGCCGCCUCCUCCUCGACGCCAACGGAAAUCCCCUCCUCUGCAUGCGGGAGAAGGUAAACCAUGCAAUUACUUGUUGGAUGGAAAAUGGAGCCAUCCGUGCAUUUCUCUGCUCUUCCAAUACCUUUGUAGAUUCACUUGAUGGGAUCGGAGUAGAUAAUAAACUGAUAAAGAUGGGAUCAGAGUAGAUAAACUGACAAAUUAAGAUGGCUCCCUGGAUAUAGAAAAGAAAUGGGCAGGAUUCAAGAAAAAAAAGAACAAUAUUAGGACCCUUUCCGAUAGAUUGAGCAAUACAUAAAUUAAAGGUAUAAUGUUUUUCAGAAUAGUAUUGUUUAGUACAAAUUUUGAAGGACCUAGAUGAGUUGGAAUGAACCACAUGAAAAGUACGUUGAAGGAUCUAGAUGACCAUUGAGAGUUUACGAACUCAUAUGAGAAUGUGGAAAUAGUUUAGGAACCCAUAGUGUAUUUCACUCAUCCGAUUAUAUCGUUUUAAAUGUAAUUAUCUCAUAGCCUAAAUGGUUUAAUGCAUCAAUGUGCAAUAUACUCCCGACAUCCCAUAAUAUAAGCGCGCGCAGUUCAAGAUUUAAACUGAGAUUCUUGGCCUACAGUUUGUCUUACAAAAAAUAUCAUUGGACUUGUAUUUAAAACUACUUUCAUAUGGCUACAAUUUUGUUGCUACAAACAUUAUGGUAUGGGAGAUAUUAAGAAUCAAAUGUUAGUAUUGUGUAGAUCAUAUAUGUCAAGUUUGAUUAUGCCUUAUAUUUUGGGAUAGAGAGAGUACGGUUUAAGCUUUAGCAGAAGGGAGGUUGAAACAAUCCUUUAGAGAGGAAAUGAGCUUCUUCUAUUUAAGGGGUAGGAGAGUGAAAAAACGCGGCUGAGGUCCUGGCUUGAUCAUUUCGGAUAGUUCUUAUUAUAUUUUAGCUUGGGUCUUGCAGAUCAUUGUACAAUUUAUUUUCCUUCUCUGUAGUGGUCAGUAGCGGCCCCUCCUGUUUUCGUAAAAAAAAAACAUGAGUAUGAAGGUUAAAAGGAUUUCCAUUUAUGAAUUCAUUUGUCACUAUUCCUAAUCCCAACACUGUAUUUCAACUGUUCAUAUUAAUUGCCCUAAUCCCAACACUGUAUUUCAACUGUUCAUAUUAAUUGCCAAGGAUAAAGUUUUUGAUAUGACAGGUAAUACCAAUUAUCUAGCAUCACUAAUCAAUGUGCAUUGCCAGGUAAUUAGUAUGCACUACACAUGGGAAGCGUAUAGAGGGGACAGCACGAAAUCAAGUGAUUUGCUCUUCACUGCCAAGAAAUCUUCAAUCAUCCAACCGUUUGAAACAGAGAUGUACAUCUACUUGGCUUCCAACACUUCACAUGAGGUCUGCGAUUUCAAGAUGAAGGGUAGCUUCAAAGAGAGAGCGUGUUCUUUCUAUCUUGGUAACACCAACACCUUGAUAGCUCAAGUGAGUACAAAAAUUGGUUGUGCUUCUGAUCAUGCUUUGAGGAUUUAUAGAAAGUUUGUUAACAAGUGUACAAUCGGGUUAUGCAGAUGCACCGUCAGCAUAGCGCCAUGAGCACGUUGUUGGGAACAGACCACUAUGGUCUCACCGUAUUUCCAAAUGUCGACUACGUCUUCAUUUCGGCUCUUGUUGUGAUUCUACAGGAGCUUCACACGGAUAAAAAUGAUUGAUGACCACAGGGAUCCAAGCUUUCACGCAUCGAGCCGUGGAUGUCAUAUAUGAUAUAUAUAAUCUUUUUGUUUCUAUUUUUAGAGCAACUCUAGCAAUAGCUCUAAACGGAGACCCCUACAUCUUAAGUAGGGGCUUCUAGGGACCUAUUUUCUACAACUAACUCCAGUGAGGGUCUCUAAAUUUGAACUCCUAUUUAUUUCUUCUUUUAUUUUCGCACACAUCCUCUAUGUAUAUUCUUCAUUUCACACAACAUUAAUUCAAACUAAAAUAUUAAUAAUGCGUAGUGGACUAUUUCUAAAUUUGUGAUUUGAAACACACGAUCCAUAUUCAAAUUCAAAAUUUUUAAUGAAAAUGACCAUAUUCACAGCUCACUAACUUUAAAAUGCAAAACCAUCACACAGUUUGAACAAGCACGUGAGUUGAAGUUACAUGCAUCCAGGUGAAGCCACAAAAUACAAAUAUUUUAACCAAGACUAAAAAUGUUCUAAUUGUAACAAACGUGCAAAUAGACUUGGAGAGUGAAGACACUGGACCCUUUCAAGAACCGCAACCUGCAUUGUAAAAAAUAUGCAAUCAGAAAUGAAACAUGCUACCAUGUACCAAAAUUCAGUACAAGGGACUGCAAUACUAGAAUGCUCAAUGCAUCAAUUCCAUAUACCUGUGGAUAUACAACAACGCCAUCACAUCAAACAAAAUUAAAUAGUCCAAAUGGAAUGAACAACACAAGGAUAAAAUGAUCGAUAAUGAAGCAUGCUACCAUAAUACAUACCUAUUGUGAUGCUCCAUUGACAUCACCACCUUUAAAAGAGUCAAACACACCAUCAAACCUGUUGCCAAAUCCACUAUUGAAGGCAGCCAUCUUUUGUGCUGCAAUUUGUGCCCUCAUUGCCAACACAUAGGUCUUCUGAUCCAGAUCAAGGUGCUCACAUCACAGAACAUGAUCCUCUGUUCUUGCUCCCACAUGAACUUUUCCUUUUCCAAGGAUAUCUUUUGCUGAUGAAUCAUCCUCGUAUCCUUCCACCUCUCCUCCUUCAGUUUUUUCUCCUCCCCCCUCAGUUUCUUCUGUUCUUUCUUAUCCAAGAUCAACUCCUCAAUAGCUUCUUUAUAUGGACCUGCAUCUCCUCCGGUAUUCAACCUUUGCUUUGCUUUCUUCCUUCCAAUUGGCCUCUUAGUUUGGCUUGCCCGUGCUGAAUCAGGAGUCUGACUCUUACCUUUCUCAUCCCCCUCUUCUUCUUCAGGACCUUUCUCAGAUAGUGUGGAAGACUUGCUGGGCCUUGAUCUCUUGUGCAAUUUAUCUAUUGCUUGAAACUUGGGACAAUUCCACACCUUGAGCCAACGGUGAAUAAACUGAAAUGCCUUCUUUGGUGGCAUGGUAGUGAACAUUGCUUGGAGGUGCCACUGAGGAGGGACGGAGGUGCCAGCUGGAGUGGAGCACAUCCACGCACGCCGUAGCCCCACGCUUCAGCAAGAGCUCAGGCUAGCCUGAAUCUUAUCCUCCUCAUGACCUAGCGAGAUCCUGGUGGGGAAAAGAGAUGAAGAGGGAAGGAGGCAGCGCAGGUCUACGCGCGGGAUGAGCGAGAUGGAGGGAGGUGAGCGGACUGCCGUGUGCGGGAUGGAGGUGCGUGGAGUUUUCUAUUCCGCGCCAAAAUAACCGUGGAUGGGGAUCUUCGGAGGGACCCUCCAGGUCUGGGGGGUGUGGGAGGGAAUUUAGAGGCCUCCCCAAAAUGGGGGCUCUAGUAGGGAUCCUGCUGGACUUCAUUUUUUUUUACUUAGCCUCCGAAGUAGGGGCUCUAUUUAGAGGGUCUGCUGGAGUUGCUCUUACUAGUGUAAUUUAGUUCAUGAUUGCAUGCAGAGAAAAAUUUUACAGAGAUUAGUCAAACUCAUGUACUUAUGCUGAUGUAUGUGAAUGCAUAUUUUCUUUUUGGUUGGUCAAUAUUCAGUAAUUGCUUGCUACAGCGCAUGUUUGCUUGCUUGAAUAUGACAUCUGUUAGAUAGAGUUUUGAAUCAGAAUAUGAAACUUUUCAGUUGACACUUUAAAGCCCUGCGACGGCGGCACGGCGAGAGGACACACGUGCAAGGAAGGGAGGCCGGCGAGCAACGUGCCCUGCGGCGGCCUGGAGCAGCCAAUCGUGAGGAUUAGCGGCGGCUGAACCAACCGGUCGUAAGGACCGGCGGCUAGGAUUAGCUGUGCGGAAACGGAGGAUACGGAUCGUAGCCUCGCAUGAUACCAUGAAAGAGUAGAAUACUCGAUGUAUUACUCAGGCAUAGUCAGUGUACAUAUAUAGGCUAGGUGGGGAGUCACGGUGGACAGGCCCACGAGUCCAAUUACAUUCUAACACCAUCAACCAGCUGGGCCUGCAUGCAAUGGCUAGCAAUCUUCGUAAAAGAAUUAUUUUGGUAUUAAUAUUUAAUUAUAAAUAUUUUAAGGCAAGGAUGAGUAAUUAGGAAGGAGUCCGACAACUUGGCGCAGAUUUUUUUUUUCCUACGUAUCUCCCAGGAAGAAACCCUCUCCCAGCACCAGCCGGAUCAACCGAGAGCAUCGCCGGACGGACGAUCUCGGCUAACAAUCCCAAUGGCAUCGCCGCUGGCGGUGGUGGACACACGGUUCUGCGUGCCGCGCACCCUGCCGCUGACCCUGACCAUGAGCCUCACGCUCGGCGGCGCCGUCACCGACGCCAGCGGCGCCGCCGUGCUGCGAGUGGACGCCCCUCUCUUCGGGUUCCUCCACCGCUUCGUCCUCGCCGGCGUCGCCGGCCGGCCCAUCCUCUCCAUCCAGAAGAAGGCACGGCACGCUUGUCUCGCAUCACUCAAAUUUAGUCUCUCGGGUCGUCCUGCAGCUAAUUCAGGUACUUAAUCGUACGACGGACAUUGGCACAUUGCAUUUGUCAGGCAUUUAGGUGGGAAGCCUUCAGAGGGGACAGCCGGGACGCGAGGGACCUGCUCUUCACGGCCAGGAGAUCGCCGAUCUUCCAGGUGAGGACGCAGAUGGGUGUGUUCCUGGCGCCGAACACGGCGUGGCAGGGCGCCGCCUGCGGUUUCACGAUGAAGUGCAGCUACCUCGAUAGAUCAUGCGACGUUUAUCUUGGCAAAUCCAGCACCAAAAUCGCCCAGGUACGGCGAGAACAAGAAUCUUUUAAUUUGUCUCGUUUAUGAUGAUAAUGGUUUGACGUUUUUUUUUUGGUUUUGUCGAUGAGUACGUUUAUCAUCUGGUGCUGCGUGCAGGUGCGCCGUCAGUUCUCUGCAGCAGGCGUACUGCUCGGAAAGGAGAAGUUCAGCGUCACCGUGUUCCCGAACGUCGACUACGUGUUCAUCGCGGCUCUUGUUGUGAUGCUAAGCGACAUUAUUCACACGGCUGAAACAGACAGACGACGAUAACAACAGGUCCACAGAGAUCCAAGCCGUUGAUCGAACUAGGCUUGUACUGUCAUGUGACAUGCCAUCCUACAUAUAUGCUGCUGCUGCUAAUACAAAUAGUGUAAUCCAAUCGAGAGUAGCAUGCAAAGUUUUGCUAGCUGGCAGGACCGUCGACAAUUUUGUAUUUGCUUUUCGUUUGAUCAUUCUAUACAAACUAUUUGGUCAGGGCAGAUGACUUGAGUAAGAACAAUGUUUCUGACAAACACUGCGUAUUCUAUGACUGAUAAUGACCAUCUAUACAAAUACUCUGUCUCAUAAUAAUAGAAUAUACUUGCUAAACGUAAAUAAAAAGUUAAAAAUAUUUGACUUUAGGCAAACCUAAAUGUGAUAAUAUUUUUUGUGGAGGGAGUAUUUCUUUUUGAUAAAGAUAAAUAUUACUUCAGUAGGCUAACAUGUACUCUCUUUAUUCCAAAUGGUUGGUUACGUCAAACCUCUCAAACUUUGUUAAUUGCUCAAUUUUCAUAAUACCAAAUAAAUACACUACAAGUACAUAAUUCGUGGGGGAAUUUGAUAAUGAAACUAAUUUGUUGUUGUAGAUGUUGGUACUUUUAAUUUUCUACAAACUUGUCAAAUUUAGAUAGGUUUGAUUUGGGACAAAACUAAUUAAAAUUACCAAGAUUUGGAACGAGUAGUUGAAAUUAAUGCAGAUUCUCUACCCUUCUUCCAUCCGACAGCCACAUAUGGUUGCCUACAAUGAUGUACUAUACAUAUGACCGGAACCUUGAAAUUGAAAUUGUCGUGGCCAAUCGACAAGCACCAAUAUCAAAGUGAAAAGGACACCCCCCAGAAUGUCGUAAACGUAUUGCAUCCUCCAAAAUCUUAUAUACAAAUUUCGCAACUUCUUCAAGUUCCCUUCGUGUCACCCAAGAACAACAUCUUGAUCGAGACGCCAAGUCGCCAAGACGCACCCGGACCCACCUAGCGAACAAGAUAGGCUAUAGCUACCUAGUACGUACGUCCGGCGGAUCCCAAUGGCAGUGACCCCAGCGCCGGUCGUGGGCUCGCAGUUCUGCUCGCCGCAGGUGCUGCCGCUGAGACUGACGACGAAGCUCACCGGCGGCUGCACCGUCACCGACCCCGCCGGCGCUGUCCUGCUGCGGAUCGACGUCCCGCUCUUCCGCUCCUGCCCUCGACGCCGCCCGCCGGCCCAUCCUCUCCCUGCAAAGAAAGGUGUAGAGUCUCAACUCUCAAGCUUUGCACCUGAUGAACAUGAACUCCCUUUGAAUUUCGCUUCCUAGAUGAUCGAUAUGAUCUCGGCGUGUCUUCCGUGUCAGGCUCCUGGCAUGUGGCAAGUGUUCAGAGGGGACCGCAAAUGGCGGUGACCUGCUGUUCACCGCCAGGGAAUCGCCAAUGGCCACACCAAACUCAGGCCUCGACGUCUUCCUGGCCGGGAACACGGCGCAGAACGUCGCCGACUUCAAGAUCAAGGGUGACUUCGGUGGAUCCUGCUACUUCUAUCUUGGUGACUGCCACACUAUGAUCGCAACGGCAAGUGUUCUACAUCUUCUGGAUAUUGGUCCUCACUUCUCCCAUUUGACACAAAUUUAAUUUCACCGAUAUAUAUGGCGCACCGUUUUAUAUGUCGAUGCUAAUAAACUAAGAUCAAACCAUUAAGCCAAUAUAUAUAGAGUCUUUGUAGAGAAAAUAUAGAAUGCACCUCUGGAGUUGGAAUUAAUAUUUCCCUUCUGGAGUAUUGUCUUACAAUGGACAUAGUGUGAGAGCGAUUAAUUGCAACCAGUAUUAAUGUUCAAAUAAUACUAUGGCUUUUUAUUACAUUUGUAUAAUGGUAUCCAAAUUUUCUGAAGUUUCACGCCAUGUCUCAAAUAGUGAGUGACAUUAGGCGAAGUAUCCAAAUCUUAGUGAGUAUAAUUUUCUGAAGUUUCACGCCAUGUCUUAAAUAGUAUCAUCAUUGAUUAGGAACAGAUGAAGUAUAAAUUAAAAAAAGAUUGCUGCAAAAAAGAUCUGAUACCAAGCUAGGCUUGUCCAGGUGAAAAAAAACAUGUUCGGCAGGUUGCCAUUCAUAUCUUAGAUCUUAACUGAAUUUUGUCGCGAGUGUAAGCAAAAACAUUGUUUGUGCACUCAACUAUCUUUAUGCUCUUACAACCAAGAACAACAUAUGAAACAAAAGAUAGGGUACGUAUCCAGCCCAAAACACCCUAAAAGUUGUAAUGUUUGCAAAGUCGUCAAAAACCAUGGCUAGAAGCUUGCAAUAGAGUAAAUUAAGCACAGUUCUAAGUGAGAUUGUGUCCUUCAUCCAUGUAAAGAUUUCACGAGCAAACUCAAUCCCACCUAUAACAAGAUGAAAAAAAGAAAGACUAUAAAUUAAAAUGAACACAACUACACAAGUAUAUAUACAUGCCACAAUGUACACGGGUCUUAUAUCAAUUAAUCCAAACCUUUGAUGAAAGAAAUAUAUGCAGGUUCCAUUAUUGCUAGUAAAGAACGGCACCUCCACCUGAAAAUGAAUCUACUCCUUCCGUCCCAAAUUACUAUUUAUUUUUAAUUUUUCUAGGUACAUAGUUUUUUAUAUACACCUAAAUAUAUAUUAUGUCUAUAUAAAUAACAAAAGUUAUGUAUCUAAAAAAAUAAAAAAACGAGUAGUAAUUUGGGACAGGACUAAAUGAUGAUCAAAAGUGGGGAAAAUAAACUAUUUUAAUCCCCUAAUCAUUCUCCCCGAAUCUAAAUUCACACACACGAAAUCUAUCCACGGCCUUUCAACUUCUUCUCCAAGCUCUGUCCGCUGAUUUGAGACUCGGACGCCAGCAAACACACAUCAGCGACGUCCGGCCGGCCAACCCUAAUGGCAGCUCCUUCAGCGCCGCUGCUGGUGGUGGGCUUGCAGUUCUGCGCGCCGCACGUGCUGCUGCUGACGCUGGCCAUGAAGUACAACGGCCGCUGCACCGACGACAACGCCAACGGCGCGGCCGUGCUGCGGAUGGAAGAAGUCUCCUUCUUCAGCUUCCGCCGCCACUACGUCCUGGUCGAUGCCGCCGGCGUGCCCGUCAUCUCCCUGAAGGCAAAGGCAAGACACGUGUAUAUCCGAUGGUCAGUCAAGAACUCAAGCACUACCGGAAACAGUAACUUUGCCGAGUGCCCCAGGCACUCGGCGAAGGGCCAAAUACACUCGGCAAAGGGUUUGCCGAGUGUAACACUCGGCGAACCUUACUCGGCAAAGUUUUUCUCAGCAAACAGCGUGUUUGCCGAGUGUCGACCAUCGGGCACUCGGCAAAGCCUUUGCCGAGUGCCGCAAUACACUCGGCAAAAUAUGACACUCGGUACAAAGACGUUAACGGGCUGUCACGGCGACGGAAGCUUUGCCGAGUGUCCGACGGCCGACACUCGGCGAAGUCUACAUCUUUGCCGAGUGUUUCCCUAAAUACACUCGGCGACGUUUACAGGUUUGCCGAGUGUUUUCCCUAAAUACACUCGGCGAACUUUUCAUCUUUGCCGAGUGUUUCCCUAGAUACACUCGGCGAACUUUUCAUCUUUGCCAAGUGUUUUCCUAGAUACACUCGGCGAAGUUUCCAUCUUUGCCGAGUGUAUUUAAUAAAACACUCGGCAAAGAUGCCCGGCCCGCCAUUUUUUUAUGCCCCCUUUGCCGAGUGUUUUUUUGAAAACACUCGGCAAAAUGGCCUUUGUUUGCCGACUUCUAUCUUGGUGACUGCCACACUAUGAUCGCAACGGCAAGUGUUCUACAUCUUCUGGAUAGUGUUUGGAGAAUACACUCGGCAAACCCGUCUACUACUACCAGAAAUGGCCUCUUUGCCAAAUUGUUUGGCCUCUUUUCCAAAUUGAUCAAACCAUUAAGCCAAUAUAUAUAGAGUCUUUGUAGAGAAAAUAUAGAAUGCACCUCUGGAGUUGGAAUUAAUAUUUCCCUUCUGGAGUAUUGUCUUACAAUGGACAUAGUGUGAGAGCGAUUAAUUGCAACCAGUAUUAAUGUUCAAAUAAUACUAUGGCUUUUUAUUACAUUUGUAUAAUGGUAUCCAAAUUUUCUGAAGUUUCACGCCAUGUCUCAAAUAGUGACAUUAGGCAAAGUAUCCAAAUCUUAGUGAGUAUAAUUUUCUGAAGUUUCACGCCAUGUCUUAAAUGGUAUCAUCAUUGAUUUAGGAACAGAUGAUAUAAAUUAAAAAAAGAUUGCUGCAAAAAAGAUCUGAUACCAAGGCUUGUCCAGGUGAAAAAAAACAUGUUCGGCAGGUUGCCAUUCAUAUCUUAGAUCUUAACUGAAUUUUGUCGCGAGUGUAAGCAAAAACAUUGUUUGUGCACUCAACUAUCUUUAUGCUCUUACAACCAAGAACAACAUAUGAAACAAAAGAUAGGGUACGUAUCCAGCCCAAAACACCCUAAAAGUUGUAAUGUUUGCAAAGUCGUCAAAAACCAUGGCUAGAAGCUUGCAAUAGAGUAAAUUAAGCACAGUUCUAAGUGAGAUUGUGUCCUUCAUCCAUGUAAAGAUUUCACGAGCAAACUCAAUCCCACCUAUAACAAGAUGAAAAAAAGAAAGACUAUAAAUUAAAAUGAACACAACUACACAAGUAUAUAUACAUGCCACAAUGUACACGGGUCUUAUAUCAAUUAAUCCAAACCUUUGAUGAAAGAAAUAUAUGCAGGUUCCAUUAUUGCUAGUAAAGAACGGCACCUCCACCUGAAAAUGAAUCUACUCCUUCCGUCCCAAAUUACUAUUUAUUUUUAAUUUUUCUAGGUACAUAGUUUUUUAUAUACACCUAAAUAUAUAUUAUGUCUAUAUAAAUAACAAAAGUUAUGUAUCUAAAAAAAUAAAAAAACGAGUAGUAAUUUGGGACAGGACUAAAUGAUGAUCAAAAGUGGGGAAAAUAAACUAUUUUAAUCCCCUAAUCAUUCUCCCCGAAUCUAAAUUCACACACACGAAAUCUAUCCACGGCCUUUCAACUUCUUCUCCAAGCUCUGUCCGCUGAUUUGAGACUCGGACGCCAGCAAACACACAUCAGCGACGUCCGGCCGGCCAACCCUAAUGGCAGCUCCUUCAGCGCCGCUGCUGGUGGUGGGCUUGCAGUUCUGCGCGCCGCACGUGCUGCUGCUGACGCUGGCCAUGAAGUACAACGGCCGUUGCACCGACGACAACGCCAACGGCGCGGCCGUGCUGCGGAUGGAAGAAGUCUCCUUCUUCAGCUUCCGCCGCCACUACGUCCUGGUCGAUGCCGCCGGCGUGCCCGUCAUCUCCCUGAAGGCAAAGGCAAGACACGUGUAUAUCCGAUGGUCAGUCAAGAACUCAAGCACUACCGGAAACAGUAACUUUGCCGAGUGCCCCAGGCACUCGGCGAAGGGCCAAAUACACUCGGCAAAGGGUUUGCCGAGUGUAACACUCGGCGAACCUUACUCGGCAAAGUUUUUCUCAGCAAACAGCGUGUUUGCCGAGUGUCGACCAUCGGGCACUCGGCAAAGCCUUUGCCGAGUGCCGCAAUACACUCGGCAAAAUAUGACACUCGGUACAAAGACGUUAACGGGCUGUCACGGCGACGGAAGCUUUGCCGAGUGUCCGACGGCCGACACUCGGCGAAGUCUACAUCUUUGCCGAGUGUUUCCCUAAAUACACUCGGCGACGUUUACAGGUUUGCCGAGUGUUUUCCCUAAAUACACUCGGCGAACUUUUCAUCUUUGCCGAGUGUUUCCCUAGAUACACUCGGCGAACUUUUCAUCUUUGCCAAGUGUUUUCCUAGAUACACUCGGCGAAGUUUCCAUCUUUGCCGAGUGUAUUUAAUAAAACACUCGGCAAAGAUGCCCGGCCCGCCAUUUUUUUAUGCCCCCUUUGCCGAGUGUUUUUUUGAAAACACUCGGCAAAAUGGCCUUUGUUUGCCGAGUGCCUACCCUAUGGCACUCGGCAAACAAGCAAUUCCGCCAAAUUGUUUGGCCCCUUUGCCGAGUGUUUGGAGAAUACACUCGGCAAACCCGUCUACUACUACCAGAAAUGGCCUCUUUGCCAAAUUGUUUGGCCUCUUUUCCAAAUUGUUUGGCCUCUUUUCCAAUAUAUAGUCUUUGUAGAGAAAAUAUAGAAUGCACUUCUGGAGUUGGAAUUAAUAUUUCCCUUCUGGAGUAUUGUCUUACAAUGGACAUAGUGUGAGAGCGAUUAAUUGCAACCAGUAUUAAUGUUCAAAUAAUACUAUGGCUUUUUAUUACAUUUGUAUAAUGGUAUCCAAAUUUUCUGAAGUUUCACGCCAUGUCUCAAAUAGUGACAUUAGGCAAAGUAUCCAAAUCUUAGUGAGUAUAAUUUUCUGAAGUUUCACGCCAUGUCUUAAAUGGUAUCAUCAUUGAUUUAGGAACAGAUGAUAUAAAUUAAAAAAAGAUUGCUGCAAAAAAGAUCUGAUACCAAGGCUUGUCCAGGUGAAAAAAAACAUGUUCGCCAGGUUGCCAUCCAUAUCUUAGAUCUUAACUGAAUUUUGUCGCGAGUGUAAGCAAAAACAUUGUUUGUGCACUCAACUAUCUUUAUGCUCUUACAACCAAGAACAACAUAUGAAACAAAAGAUAGGGUACGUAUCCAGCCCAAAACAUCCUAAAAGUUGUAAUGUUUGCAAAAGUCGUCAAAAACCAUGGCUAGAAGCUUGCAAUAGAGUAAAUUAAGCACAGUUCUAAGUGAGAUUGUGUCCUUCAUCCAUGUAAAGAUUUCACGAGCAAACUCAAUCCCACCUAUAACAAGAUGAAAAAAAGAAAGACUAUAAAUUAAAAUGAACACAACUACACAAGUAUAUAUACAUGCCACAAUGUACACGGGUCUUAUAUCAAUUAAUCCAAACCUUUGAUGAAAGAAAUAUAUGCAGGUUCCAUUAUUGCUAGUAAAGAACGGCACCUCCACCUGAAAAUGAAUCUACUCCUUCCAUCCCAAAUUACAAUUUAUUUUAAUUUUUCUGGAUACAUAGUUUUUUAUAUACACUUAAAUAUAUAUUAUGUCUAUACAAAUAACAAAAGUUAUGUAUCUAAAAAUAAAAAACGAGUAGUAAUUUGGGACGGGACUAAAUGACGAUCAAAAGUGAGGAAAAUAAACUAUUUUAAUCCCUAAUCAUUCUCCCCGAUGUAUACCAGAUAUGAACGUAAUCUAAAUUCACACACACGAAAUCUAUCCACAGCCUUUUCAACUUCUUCUCCAAGCUCUCUCCGCUGAUUUGAGACUCGGACGCCAGCAAACACACAUCAACGACGUCCGGCCGGCCAACCCUAAUGGCAGCUCCUUCGGCGCCGCUGCUGGUGGUGGGCCCGCAGUUCUGCCCGCCGCACGUGCUGCCGCUGACGCUGGCCAUGAAGUACAACGGCCGCUGCACCGUCGACGACGCCAGCGGCGCGGCCGUGCUGCGGAUGGAAGAAGUCCCCUUCUUCAGCUUCCGCCGCCACUACGUCCUGGUCGACGCCGCCGGCGUGCCCGUCGUCUCCCUGAAGGCAAAGGCAAAACACGUGUAUAUCCGAUGAUCAGUCAAGAACUCAACAUCACCCUGAUGAACAAAUCUCGUGUCCUUGUGAUUAAUUCAUCGCGGCUUCCGUCGAUCGAUCAGUUCGGCGGGCUUUCAUGGCAGGUGUUCAGAGGCGACAGCCACGACGCCGGCGACCUGCUCUUCACCGCGACGGCGUCUUCAGGGAGGCGCUGACCAUUCAGAGGCCUCGACGUGUUCCUGGCCGGGAACACCAGGAGGGGAGCCGCUGAUUUCAGGACCAAGGGUGACUUCCGCAGAUCCGGCCGGCUACUAGCUUCUAUCUUGGCAACUCGGACAAGAUGAUUGCUUCCGUAUGUAGUAUAUCCGCUGCCAAUCAACAUAUUCCAGUAUGUGUUUUUUUUAAAAGAGUUUCUAGUAUGUGUUCGACUAUGAACAAUUUCAGGCUUCAUGAAAAGUGCUCUUUGUGACUUUUAUCUUGUGUUGCAGGUGAACCGUAUGAAAUCUUCUGGAAGGCCCGUCUUCGGUGUCACUGUGUUCCCGCACGCCGACCAUGUUCAUCAUAGCUCUUGUUUUGAUCUCACAUUAUGUUUUUACCAACAUUGAGAGGGAAAGACAAAGGCAAGAAAACAGAUGAGUUGAAGGCGCAUUCUGGUCCUGAUCUUCCUUGGAGUUCCUCUACGCCGUAUUGUCUCUCUUAUGGAUGAGUGUUGAUGUUCGGAGCAACAACAUCAGUGACUUGAAGCUGUACAAAGGUGCAUCUAAACAAAAUACCUGCCUGCAUUCACAUUUUUUUCAUUUAAUACGUUAAGAGAAAUAUCACUCCUCUCCCACAUUCACGUUGCAUUUUUUUCAAAUAAUAUGUUAAGAGAAAUAUUUAAAAAGUAAUCAGAUGAAGUAAACAGUUCCUCUUCAUAAUUCUGAUUGCUUUAAAGCAGUUCGAGUAACGUAAAAAUGAAUAUUGAGAAACCAAAUCAACUAUAAUAAAAGAUCAUGUGGGGGAUCAAACCCUGGAGGCUGAAGUCCUGAUCUUACCAAGUUUUUCAGUGAGAACUUUGCUCUGCAGGCUCGUAAAUGUGAUAUACAUCAUGAUGAACAUGUAUGUACCAAAGAAAUAGUGAAAAUGCUACCUCUGCUUAAGUCCAUUACAUACCCUUCUAGUCAUAUAUUCAGACCAAUUUCAGACCUACUCCUUUGGACCCCAUUGAAUGAGGUGGGCAGUGGUGGAUUUUUUACAGCCCACCGUACAAAAAUUUGAUGUAUGAAUGGAGAGGGUUUUACACGGGUGGCUCCAGUUCUCGGUGGUGAAAUUGAAGCUACAAGCUAGGAGUCACAAGAAACCCGAACUUAACACAUAAGCUGGUUCUCGCUCCCCUAUACUUUAAGAGGAUAUCUAGGUUGUAUUAAACCACCAUACCAUACCACUAGGCCAUGCAUAUGGGUCAACAAUUACUACUGUAAAAGGAUAUCUAGGUUAUCUAGGCCAGGGUAUUAUAUAAGGAGACUAGGGGGCAGGGCAUCUAAAUGCAGGUCUUGACACGACAAUAGAGAAUUGAAUAGUCUGAUGUAGUUGUACCAUACAACAUGGCACAAGUAAGGUGGUGGGGUAGCCCGAGCAACACAUCGGCCUUCUAGUCAAUCUGAAGUUAGGUUGGAGAGAACAAGAAGAAUUAAAUGCUUAAAUCAAUCUCUAGAGAGCAUGAAGAACAAGAGUGAAUUAUAAUAAGGACAUCAAUUUUUUGGGGGGUUAAGAAAGGUCACUGUGAAUCAUUAAGAUCAUAUUUCGACUUACAUAUUACUCUCACAUCUUUUGCGUAUUCAAAUGUACCUCAUGCGGCGAUACGGUAUAUGCCACCGUCGCGGGGGUGGCAUGGCUACAGAGUAGAGCAGUGUGUAGCUCAUGGAGUGCUUGCUAUCUUCGGACUACACACAUGUCGGUUGCCGACGCUGAAACAGACGCCCUCGACUCGCAGCACGACGGCGCCGUCAGCGCCGGUGACGGUGAAGUCGCCGCCGGAGAAGCUCAUGGCCAUCUUGGUCACGGUCAGCGGCACCGUGCGCGGCGCGCAGAACUGCGGGGACACCACCGCCACCGGUGCCGGCGCCGGCGCCAGCGCUGAAGGAUCUCUGUACGGUGCUGCCAUGGCCAUGGGGAUCGGAUCGACGAAGCUGGCUCGAUCCCCUUGUCGUCUCCGGUGGAUGGAUUUGAGUAUUUGACGGUCGUGGUGCUCGAAGGAUUUACACGCGCUUUUGCUGUACUCGAAGGCUCAGCUUCAGCUUCCGUGUGCUCGUCUUUGGAGUGUGACAGCUUUGAAAGGAAAGUGCGAAGAUCUUCUGUGUAAUUGCGAAGAAGGUCGGCGCAUAGCGACCCUGUUACGUAUCCGGCCGAUCAACCAAUCCAGAAAUGAGAAAUCAUGCACGAACCCUGCUGUGUGAACUGUGGGCUGGUUUUUCUGAAUGUCCAGCAGAUUCAGGAGGCCUCAUUCAUUCCUAAAUGGACUAGUUCGGCCAUUUCAAGGGCCCAAUGCGGGUGGCAGCCCAUACAAGUCAGUGGAGUCCUUACAACAAAGGGCACAGAGUUAGUACACAUUAUUUAGCUAAAAAAAGCAGUAGUACACAUUAUUGAACGUCGGCAUAACACAGUAUGAAUCAACAAAGUUCAAUAGUUGAUUCUGCUAGCAUAAUUUGACAAGCAAAACCCUCAACCGCGGUUUACAACAUCAAAUUUGCGUCCAACUCGAUGGAAGCUUGGAGUUGAUGGUGGUGGUCUUCAGUCGGAUCGUUCCCUGUGAAUCUCAUCCAGAAUCACCACCAGAGCAGCGACGAACACGUAAUCGACAUGCGGGAACACGGUGACACCGAACGUGUCCUUCCCGAGCAGCACAUUCGAGACAGUGUACUGACGGUUCAUCUGCAGCACCAAAUGACAACCACAUCAAUCUACUGAAUAUUUGCAGAACUCCAAAACUACGAUUAGAAACAGAGCCUUUUUCUUUUCUUUUUGGGUACGCACUUGGGCAAUCAUGGUGUUGGAGUUGCCGAGGUAGAAGGCGCACGACCUCUCGAAGUAGCUGCCUUUGAUCUUGAAAUCGCAGGCCUGCUCCGCGGUGUUGGAAGCCAGGAAGACAUCCAGCUCCGUCUUCAGCUGGAUGAUUGAGCUCUUCUUCACGGUGAAGAGCAGGUCGCUUGCCUUCGCGCUAUCCCCUCUGAACACGUCCCAUCUUUUGUGCAUGCUGAAUACCUGGUAAAUGUGCCACGGUGAGGCGAUGCUAAACUGGUAUAUAUGAUCGACCUACUAGAGCGUAUUAAACAGAGGGCUUGUUGGUUUUGUAGCAAUGGUACGGGGAUUUAACGUAAAAAAAAAUGCAUGGAAAUUGGAUGUGUUGGUAACAGAGUGAUGUCCUGUAAAUCUGUCAACAAGUUCCUGUUUUUUGUAGUACAGUCUAAUACAGAGAGUUAAAAAUAGGUUUCUGUCACAAACAAAGUUCAGAAAUUAUUUUGUUUUUACUCUCUCGCAAAACCUUAUGGUUAUAUUGAGUUGUUGGACUUCAGCUUUAUUUGAACCUUGCUAUGUGAUGCUCACUUAAUAUCAUGCUCAGUAUGAAUUCUUAAGUUGGAUUGCGGAAGCAUCCCAAAUCCUGAUUCCUGGAAGUCCAAAUCGUAAAAUUUCUUUUAAUCAAGUAGUGAGUUUUGACAGAGAUUGCGCAGGGAACUAAACUAUUGCUACCGUUCCUCAGUACGAGAGUACCCUGUGAUCAACUAGCACUUCAGUCAGGUACUCAGGAGUCAGGAAGCAUCAAUUUCCAAAUGCAGACGCCCUUCCAUGCCAUGAAAUUGACCAAGUAGUGGAAUAUGAAGAAAUAUUUCUUUAUCACGAUUUGAAGCACAACUUUUUUUGCUUAAGCUCGGCAAUUGAUCCUGCAUUCAUGCUCCUAUCUUCUCCCUCAAAUCGACCAUCCAAUCUCAUUUAGCAACUUUGAAUAAAGAAGGAAUAAAACAGAGAAUAGAUCAAGAGAGUGAAUAAAGAAGGGAAAAAACAGAGAAUACAUCAAGAGAGUGAUGUUUGUUCUUUUUUUUCUGUUCUUGUUUCUAGGACAACGGUCGAUCCUUCUGAACUUCAGAUCAAGCCAAUCAAAGGAAAGAAACAAAGAAAUGGAUGGCUGAUCCGUGCAUAUAUUUACCUUCUGCUGCAUGGAGAGGAUGGGCUGGCCGGCGGCGUCGAGGAGCACGCGGCGGCGGUGGACGCUGAAGAGGGCGCCCUUGACCAGCAGCACGACGGCGCCGUUGGCAUCGGUGACGGUGAAGUCGCCGUCGGAGAGGCUGAUGGCCUUCUGCGUCACCGUCAGGGGCACCACGUACGGCGCGCAGAACUGCGGGGAUACCACCGCCACCAGGGCCGCCGGCGCCGCCGCCGCCGCCAUGGGAUUGAGAUCGGCGCCUCCGCACCUCUCCUGCAACGGCGGCUUUGCUCGGUGGAUUCGAUCGGCGGUGAGCGGCGAGCUUCCACGUGCCGUCGUGCUCUAGUUGUCUUGUUGGAGUCCGGGCGGUUUAUCUUGCCUUCGCCCCCGACAAAAGGUGGUGGAGAGAGCAAAGGGAGGAUGUACCAGGGUGCUUGUGGGCCCAUCGAACAGAUGCCAGAAUAUCAGAUAUUUUUUAUUUAUAGAUUUCGGAUUCGUAUACUAAAAUAAAUGGUAAUUCUUUUUUUUGAAAAAACAGAAAAUUAUAAUUCGUAUUCAAAUGGUAACACUUUUUUUUGUGGGGGAGGGAGGGACAGACAUUGCAUGACAACCCACAAACUACAAUCACAUUCACAUUAUUAAAACAGUUGAAAAAUUGAUCUCUGGGCAGCACAAUUUUUCAUGCAACAAGGAAUACAAGAUAGCAUUGUGACAAUAUCAAGGCCAUUAUUGAACUCGAUGGAAGCUUUAAUUUUAAGGCCGAUGUGAAUCAUCAGUCGAAUCGCUCCCUGUGAAUCUCAUCCAAGAUCACAACAAGAGCCGCGAUGAACACGUAGUCGACAUGCGGGAACACGGUGACG